GGCCGGGAGGAUCCUGUCUGCUCUGGCCCGUGUGACACUGGCUCAUGAUCCCCGCCGAGGACUCUGCCUCGAGCCUGUGAAUCACCUUGGGCAGCGCAGUAUCUUUCAGAGGGGCAGCCCGGCUGCAUGGGAAGGCGUCCAGCAAGGCAUCUUCUUAAGUCACUCAUUUCAGAGAUGGGCACCGGAAUUGAACGCAUGUAUCUUGCUGUUGCUGUAUGUAGAGGUGGCAGUACAUCCUCCUUGUCCCAUCUGAUAUUCUUCUGCAUAAACUUCCAAAGAUCAUAUCACUCUGAAAUAAAGUAUUACUUUGGAAAAUUAUAUUCAGUUGUUUAUCCCCCAUGAUCCCAAAAUCUUUACACAGAGACUAUAUUCAAAGGUGCAGUCUCCCAUCUUGUAAGUGUGGCCUAUUGCUCUAUGACCUUGCAUUUGACUUUAUUAAAAUGUGUGACUGUGUUGUUCAACUGAGCCCAUAUUAGCAAGCAGUCCAGGUCAGCCUGUAUAAUUGAACCUGUUGUCAUCAUUAUUCACCAGUUUUUGUGUCAUCCGCAAACUUUAUCAGGAAUUAUUUUAUAUUUUUCCAGGCCAUUGAUAAAAAAUUUGAAUAGCUUUGGACCAAGUACAAAUCCCUUCAGGACCCCAUUAAUAACACCUCCAGUGGAUUAUGAGUCUUUAUUUAUAAUUCCUUUUUUGCAAUCUAUAUGCUAAUGCUAACCAGUUUAAAUCCUUUAAUAGGGGCUACACAGAUUUUGUAUAGUGCUAAUUUUUGUUAUCAGAAUGUCAUGCAGAACUAAAUGAAAUGCCUUGCAGAAAGAAUUCCAUUAUGCUAACACUUAACUUUACUAACCACUUUUUUAAUUUAAAAAUAAUUUUGACACAGACCUAUUUUCCAUAAAAACAUGGUGAUUGUCAUUAAUUACUCUAUAUCCAUUAAUUUUGUAUUGAUUGUAUCCCGUAUUGGCCUUUCCAUGAUUUUGCCAGGGGCUGAUAGCAGGCUAACAAGCCUGUGGUUUCCUUUUUCAAUAUUGGCUUGAUACUAAUUUUUUCCCUGGUGCUCUGGAAUUUCUCCAAUUAUUCAAAAUCUGUUAAGAAUUAGUAAUAGUGUUUCUGAAUGCUCCUCAGAUAAUUCUUAUAAUACUUUUUGGUGCAGAAUUUAAAAUGGUUGACUGCAGUAGUUGUCUAACAUUCUCUUGCCACUGUUGAAAUAGGACAGGAGUCAGCAACCUAUGGCUUGUGGGCCAGAUCCAGCCUGCAGAACCAUUGGAUCUGGCCUGUGGAUGUAUAGGCAGCUGGAAAAGUUUGCCUGUACCUGAAUAGGAAGUAUUUAAUUAUCACUGUAUGGUAUGAAUAAUCAUGCUGCUUCUUUCUAAAUGCCGAACAUAAAAAACCCAAAGUAUUAAAUAAAUAUUUACAUCAGGA